GGAAGUGGAAAGCUCACUGGUGGGGCUCCCGGACUUCAAAUCCGGUGUACCGUCUGAGGAAGGCGGUAGGUGGGUUCGAUUCCCAUGCACUUCC
rnacentral:tRNA from 1 species